rnacentral:rRNA from 1 species
GUUUAUUUGGUAGCUAUAAAUAAUCUGGCCUGCCCCCUGAUUAAUUAAUUAAAGGGCCGCAGUAUUAUAACUGUGCAAAGGUAGCAUAAUCAUUAGGUUUUUAAUUGGAAUCUUGUAUGAAUGGUUGGACAAAAGAGACACUCUCUUUAUAAUUAAUUUUGAAUUUAACUUUUAAGUGAAAAGGCUUAAAUAUUCUAAAGGGACGAUAAGACCCUAUAAAACUUUACAUUGUAAUUAAAUUUGAACUAAAUUUAAAAUAUAAAUAUUUAAUUUAAUUAUUUGUUAUGUUGGGGAGACAUAGGUAAAAUAUUAUUUUAACUGCAUAAUAAAAAUACAAUUAUAAAUGAACUGUAAAAGAUCCUUUUUAAAGAUUAAUAGAUUAAGUUACUUUAGGGAUAACAGCGUAAUUUCUUUUGAGAGUUCUUAUCGAAAGAGAAGGUUGCGACCUCGAUGUUGAAUUAAAAUACCUAUAUAAUGGAGGAGUUAUAUAAGUAGGUCUGUUCGACCUUUAAAAUUUUACAUGAUUUGAGUUCAAACCGGUGUGAG